UACGUAGGCAGCAAGCGUUGUUCGGAGUUACUGGGCGUAAAGGGUGUGUAGGCGGUUUUUUAAGUUUGGUGUGAAAUCUCCCGGCUCAACUGGGAGGGUGCGCCGAAUACUGAAAGACUAGAGUGCGGGAGAGGAAAGUGGAAUUCCUAGUGUAGCGGUGAAAUGCGUAGAUAUCAGGAGGAACACCGGUGGUGUAGACGGCUUUCUGGACCGUAACUGACGCUGAGACACGAAGGCCAGGGGAGCAAACGGG
rnacentral:rRNA from 1 species